GCCUGGACUCCUGAGUCUGAGCGGGAAGGGGGCUGGGAUCCAUCUCUCUGCCUGACUGAUGCAGGUGUCCCACAACUGGCGUUUCUGCAUCUCACCUGACUUUCUGGGUUUCUGGGGGUCAGACACCGAGGUUCCUUGGUCAUUAAGAAAACAAGUGCUGCAUGAUCCAAGCGUUCUCCUCAAGGACACAGGAGUCCUGGUGUGGGAGCUUCAGACCAACCUGCUCACAAAUCCCAGCCCAGGCACUCAUACACCAAACAACCCAGCCUCCUCCUCCUGGACCCUGAUGCAAUCCUGAUGUUUCUUUCACCAGAGAAGCUAACCAAGAUCAGACCGGUGCCCUCAGAAUAGCCUGGGGAAGUGGGGGGAGGGUGAGAAUCUUUGACUCAGAGUUGACAACUGACACAGGCUCAGGAGGGAGAAGUUAGACCCAAGAUCCCAAAGGGAAUGAGGGGUUGGGCAAUUUCCUGGAACCUAAACGUGCAAGAGUCUGAACACCAGAUCUGAAGGAGGCGGGUGACUGGAGGCCCGGACUUCUCAUUCUGAGGAGGGGGCUGGGGGCUGGGAAUCCUGGGUCUGGAGAAGUUAUGAUCAGAUCUCUAGAGAGUCAAGUCCAAUUCCUGGGUCUUUGCUUUCUUGAAUGGUAAUGGUCAGACCGUUCGGGCCAGGCUGGGUGUUGGUGGGAAGAAGGCUCGGUGGAGGGAAGCCGCCUCACGUCUGCAGAAGAGGGAGGCUUUUGCUCCUAGCCGGGUCUGCCUCGGCCUCUGCGGAAGAGUUUCUCUUCCACUUCUGCUUUCUCUGUUCCCGUCCUCGGGAGAGGCGGGACGUUCCCUUCACCGUCAGGUGCCUGACGCUAGGGUUCGCUCAGACGGAGAGACUGGGAGCCGGGAGUCUCGAAUUUGCGGGUGGAUGGGGCGGAGUGGGGAUCGGCGGCCCCUGGUGGGCGCGGGGACACGUUCCCGCCAGAGGCUGUCACGCCGGGACUCAGAGCCGGCGGAGGCUUUGCACCCGCCCAUGGAGCAGCCUGGUUAACAGGUUCUGCAUCUCCACGGGAGGACGCGACAGGGGGCGGAAGCCGCUGGGCCGUGGCCGGACUCGGCGCAUCCUGGUACACAGGGCGGAUGGCGAACCCAGAAACUGGAGGGGAAGAGGGAGAGGUCGAAGUCCAGCGUUGCAGCUGGGCGCUAGAUCUCGGUGUCCACGGAAGGAUGGGCUGCUAGGAGGCCAGGUAGGCUGCCCCUGGCUGGCCGAUGUCAGGCAGGAGGGGGGCUGGGGCGCGGGUCUCCUGGUCCGGGGGAGGGAGGACGGCGGGGGCUGCGGCCCUAGAACUGGGAGCUGGGGCUCGGCGCCAGGGAAGGGGCGGGGCUCCGCCUCCGAGCUACCUGCCGGCCGGGGAGGGGCGGGGCUGGGAUCCUCCGAACCGCAUCCCCUCUCCUACCUCCCCUUCCCGAGCCCUCGCAGCCAGUCGGGGGAGGCGGCGUGGAGGGGGAGGGCUGUCGGGCCUGGGAACCUGGAGUCCAGGGUUCCGGGGGCCGCCGGAUGUGGGCUGCACUUGGGGCCGGAACGCUCCGUUCACGCCAAGCUGACUGUGGAGCUCAGGAAACAAGAUCCCCCAUCCAGGCCUGGACCUCCAGCCUCUCAUGUUCUACUUGGCCCGUUGCUUCCUGCCAUCUCCCUGGUGGACCCUGCCCCUCACACACAGGUUCACUGA
ensembl:lncRNA